AUAAAUCUGCAUGAUAAGAAUCUUGAUGUUUUACAUGAUACAAGUCAACUGUUCAUAUGUCAUUUCUUUAUCUGCAUGAUGGAAUCUACUGUUCACUAGUUCACAGGUGACAUAGCAUAUUAAUGGUUGAAGGACAGGUUUUAUUUGCCUCCUUUUUCUUUUUUCCUUUUUCUUUUUUUAAAUGCUGACCAAAGCUUAGCACAGUAAUAACACUCCUCACCACGUGCAUUUUCAUCAAGAGCAUGUAGCUGAAGACCAUUUCAAUAAAUAUUGGAAAAGGAUCUUCAUCACUCCAAUAUAAGCUUUCUUUUUUGGGGAUCUAUUCCUGCUUUAUUUUGGUGUGUCGGAGGGUUCUGCAAGAAAUACAUGUCUCAGAUUUUAACAGAUGGAGCACGAGAAGAGGUGCUUUGACCCCUGCUUUUGGAGCACUGUUGUCCCUUCAUCCAAGUCAAAGCAGCCAAGAAUCGAUCCUUCCAUCCCCAAUUUGCAGUAGCUUCAGGUGAUGACAAUGAAGCGGAUGUUACUCCUUUACAUGCGUGGUCCGCAGGAAACCGAUGCUUGAGGCACACCUUGAGCUGGCAAGUUUUACAAAUACAGGUAUUAGAAAAUGUCAAGACCUCCUUGCAUCUCCCAACAGGACAAGUGGGCUUUUUCUUCUUGCCGGGGUCACACAUUCCAGAUUUGUCAUGCUUCUCCAAUAUAGCCUUCUCGUCGUGUUCAUUAUAACCGGUGGUCUCCAUUGACAUGGAACAUGAUGGGCAAAUCACAACCUUCCUGCUGUUAUGGUCUGAUUUGGGGCAGUCGUGGGACUUGUAAGAUCUGUGUUCCAAGCAGAAAACCUGCAAUGUAAAUGGGAGAAAGAUGUGAGGAUAGGGAGAAUUGAAGGAAUGGAGAUUCAAAAGAAGGGAAACCUGAGAGCAAGCGUCGCAUGUGAAAGGGAGGAAAUCGAGUUGAUUGCAAUCAACGUGAUGGCAGUGUGAUCCCAAAUCCGGGAAGGCUUCGGUUCCACCUGCCAUGGCAGGUUGAUUGCUUCUAGGACGGAACGGAAAUUGGAGAAUGAGAGCAAGGGAGGAAGGAUGGCCUUCAUAUCGUUUAUAAGCUGGGGAUGGGGAAUUUUACACCUGUCAGAAAGAAAACCUUGAGAUAAUUGAUUUUUUCUAUGAAAUUAAAUUGAGAAAAUAUUAUUAAACAA